AAGAAACUAACAAGGAUUCCCCUAGUAACGGCGAGUGAAGAGGGAAGAGCUCAAAUUUGAAAUCUGGCGGCCUACGGUCGUCCGAGUUGUAAUCUAGAGAAGUGUUUUCCGUGCUGGACCGUGUACAAGUCCUUUGGAACAAGGCGUCAUAGAGGGUGAGAAUCCCGUCUACGACACGGACUACCAGUGCUUUGUGAUACACUCUCAACGAGUCGAGUUGUUUGGGAAUGCAGCUCAAAAUGGGUGGUAAAUUCCAUCUAAAGCUAAAUACAGGCGAAAGACCGAUAGCGAACAAGUACCGUGAGGGAAAGAUGAAAAGCACUUUGGAAAGAGAGUUAAACAGUACGUGAAAUUGUUGAAAGGGAAACGCUUGAAGUCAGUCGCGUCUUCAGAAACUCAGCCUGGCUUCUGCCUGGUGUACUUUUCUGUUGGACGGGCCAGCAUCAGUUUUGGCCGCCAGAAAAAGGUGAGAGGAAGGUGGCACCUCCGGGUGUGUUAUAGCCUCUCAUUGUAUGUGGCGGCUGGGACUGAGGACCGCAGCACGCCUUUAAUGGCCGGGGUUCGCCCACGUAACGUGCUUAGGAUGCUGGCGUAAUGGCUUUAAACGACCCGUCUUGAAACACGGACCAAGGAGUCUAACAUGCCUGCGAGUAUUUGGGUGGCAAACCCAUAUGCGGAAUGAAAGUGAACAGUUGGGACUUCUGUCAUGGAAGGCACCGACGCCCGGACCAGACCUAUUGUGACGGAUCCGAGGUAGAGCAUGUAUGUUGGGACCCGAAAGAUGGUGAACUAUGCCUGAGUAGGGUGAAGCCAGAGGAAACUCUGGUGGAGGCUCGUAGCGAUUCUGACGUGCAAAUCGAUCGUCGAACUUGGGUAUAGGGGCGAAAGACUAAUCGAAC
rnacentral:rRNA from 1 species